rnacentral:tRNA from 3 species
GCCAAUGUAGCUCAGUCGGUAGAGCAAUUCACUCGUAAUGAAUAGGUCAUCGGUUCGAUUCCGAUCAUUGGCUCCA